AACGCACAUUGCGCCCCUUGGUAUUCCAUGGGGCAUGCCUGUUCGAGCGUCAUUUGUACCUUCAAGCUCUGCUUGGUGUUGGGUGUUUGUCCCGCCUCUGUGCGUGGACUCGCCUUAAAGCAAUUGGCAGCCGACGUAUUGUUUCGGAGCGCAGCACAAAUUGCGCUUUGUAGCUAUUACGACAGCAUCCAUCAAGCCUUUUUUCACGCUUGACCUCGGAUCAGGUAGGGAUACCCGCUGAACUUAA
rnacentral:misc_RNA from 1 species